rnacentral:snoRNA from 3 species
UGGCUAUGAUGAGAAAAGUCAUGCACCACUCUGAAGAGAUUUAUCUCUUUGUGCUGAUAAAGAAACUUACUACAACCCAUUUUACAUCUGAGCCG